rnacentral:rRNA from 1 species
GACGAACGCGUGGCGGCGUGGAGUUAGGCAUGCAAGUCGAACGGUAUCAUCCUUUCGGGGGUGAGAGAGUGGCGAACUGGUGAGUAACACGUAGGUUAUCUACCCUCAAGACGGGACGAACCCAGGGAAACUUGGGCUAAUACCGGAUGUGAGCAACUUUUAGUUGUUUGAAAGGUGGCGUAAGCUGUCGCUUGGGGAUGAGCCUGCGUCCUAUUAGUUAGUUGGUGAGGUAACGGCUCACCUAGGCAAUGAUAGGUAGGCGGCCUUAACGGGUGGUCGCCCACACUGGGAUUGAGAUACGGCCCAGACUCCUACGGGAGGCAGCAGUCGAGAAUAGUCUACAAUGGUCGGAAGACUGAUAGUGCGACGCCGCGUGAACGAUGAAUCCCUUCGGGGUGUAAAGUUCUUUUAUAUGUGAGCAGUGCUUCUUAUAUUAACAGUAUGGGGAGAGAGAUAUUAGCAUAUGAAUAAGCAACGGCUAACUCCGUG